rnacentral:tRNA from 1 species
CAAGGCAGAGCUUGUUUAGUUAAGCAUCUCACUUACGUUGAGAAGUUCGUUGUGCAAUUCAAUGUGUCUUGA